CCUACGGGACGCAGCAGUGAGGAAUAUUGGUCAAUGGGAGAGAUCCUGAACCAGCCAAGCCGCGUGAGGGAAGACGGCCCUAUGGGUUGUAAACCUCUUUUGUCGGAGAACAAAACCCGGGACGUGUCCCGGACUGCGUGUAUCCGAAGAAAAAGCAUCGGCUAACUCCGUGCCAGCAGCCGCGGUAAUACGGAGGAUGCGAGCGUUAUCCGGAUUUAUUGGGUUUAAAGGGUGCGCAGGCGGUCCGGUAAGUCAGCGGUAAAAGUGCGGUGCUCAACCCCGUCGAGCCGUUGAAACUGGCAGACUUGAGUUGGCGAGAAGUACGCGGAAUGCGCGGUGUAGCGGUGAAAUGCAUAGAUAUCGCGCAGAACUCCGAUUGCGAAGGCAGCGUACCGGCGCCAGACUGACGCUGAGGCACGAAAGCGUGGGGAUCGAACAGGAUUAGAUACCCGUGUAGUC
rnacentral:rRNA from 1 species